rnacentral:snoRNA from 1 species
AUGCUUCUGUGAUGUUUUAGCACUGGGCUCUGACCUCAUGUGAAGACACCGUGCAGUUCUGCUCCUGACAUGGCAGACUCUGAGAAGUGC